rnacentral:rRNA from 1 species
GAACGGGGAUGCCAUUUUUGAGGCGGUUAGUUUACUAAGCGUCAAGAUGCCGGCAUCUUAGUGGCGGACGGGUGAGUAACGCGUGGGUAACCUGCCUUAUACAGGGGGAUAACACUUAGAAAUAGGUGCUAAUACCGCAUAAGCGCACGGGGCUGCAUGGCCCAGUGUGAAAAACUCCGGUGGUAUAAGAUGGACCCGCGUCUGAUUAGCUUGUUGGCGGGGUAACGGCCCACCAAGGCGACGAUCAGUAGCCGGCCUGAGAGGGUGGACGGCCACAUUGGGACUGAGACACGGCCCAGACUCCUACGGGAGGCAGCAGUGGGGAAUAUUGGACAAUGGGGGGAACCCUGAUCCAGCGACGCCGCGUGAGUGAAGAAGUAUUUCGGUAUGUAAAGCUCUAUCAGCACGGAAGAAAGAAAUGACGGUACCUGACUAAGAAGCCCCGGCUAACUACGUGC